AUCCUGGCUCAGGAUGAACGCUGGCGGCGUGCUUAAUACAUGCAAGUCGAACGGACAAAGUCAGAAAGCUUGCUUUCUGGCCGAGUUAGUGGCGAACGGGUGAGUAAUACGUAGGCAACCUGCCCCAAAGCGGGGGAUAGCUGUUGGAAACAACGAUUAAUACCGCAUAGGUAAUCGGGAGGCAUCUUCUGAUUAUUAAAGGUGCGUUUGCACCGCUGUGGGAUGGGCUUACGCUGUAUUAGCUUGUUGGUGAGGUAACGGCCCACCAAGGCGAUGAUACAUAGCCGGUCUGAGAGGAUGAACGGCCACAUUGGGACUGAGACACGGCCCAGACUCCUACGGGAGGCAGCAGUAAGGAAUUUUCGGCAAUGGACGAAAGUCUGACCGAGCAACGCCGCGUGAGUGAAUGAAGGCCUUCGGGUCGUAAAGCUCUGUGGUAAAGGAAGAACACCAUGAAUAGGAAAUGAUUCAUGGCUGACGGUACUUUACUAGAAAGUCACGGCUUACUACGUGCCAGCCGCGGC
rnacentral:rRNA from 1 species